rnacentral:rRNA from 1 species
UAGGGAAUAUUGGGCAAUGGGCGGAAGCCUGACCCAGCCAUGCCGCGUGCAGGAUGAAGGCCUUCUGGGUUGUAAACUGCUUUUAUCAGGGAAGAAAACACCCAUGCGUGGGGAACUGACGGUACCUGAGGAAUAAGCACCGGCUAACUCCGUGCCAGCAGCCGCGGUAAUACGGAGGGUGCAAGCGUUGUCCGGAUUUAUUGGGUUUAAAGGGUGCGUAGGCGGCCCAUUAAGUCAGUGGUGAAAGCCCGGGGCUCAACCCCGGAACCGCCAUUGAUACUGGUGGGCUUGAGUAUGGACGAGGUUGGCGGAAUUGAGGGUGUAGCGGUGAAAUGCUUAGAUACCCUCAAGAACACCGAUUGCGUAGGCAGCUAACUAGGCCAUAACUGACGCUGAGGCACGAAAGCGUGGGGAGCGAACAGG